rnacentral:rRNA from 1 species
CGGAGGCAGCAGUGGGGAAUAUUGCACAAUGGGGGAAACCCUGAUGCAGCAACGCCGCGUGAAGGAUGAAGGUUUUCGGAUUGUAAACUUCUUUAGUCAGGGACGAAAAAAAUGACGGUACCUGAAGAAUAAGCCACGGCUAACUACGUGCCAGCGGCCGCGGUAAUACGUAGGUGGCGAGCGUUGUCCGGAAUUACUGGGUGUAAAGGGCGUGUAGGCGGGAAUGUAAGUCAGAUGUGAAAUCCCAGGGCUUAACCCUGGAGCUGCAUCUGAAACUAUGUUUCUUGAGUGCCGGAGAGGAAAGCGGAAUUCCUAGUGUAGCGGUGAAAUGCGUAGAUAUUAGGAGGAACACCAGUGGCGAAGGCGGCUUUCUGGACGGUAACUGACGCUGAGGCGCGAAAGCGUGGGGAGCAAACAGGAUUAGAUACCCUAGUAGUCA